rnacentral:rRNA from 1 species
GGGGAUGGACUCGCGGCUUAUCAGCUUGUUGGUGGGGUAGUGGCUUACCAAGGCUUUGACGGGUAGCCGGCCUGAGAGGGUGACCGGCCACAUUGGGACUGAGAUACGGCCCAGACUCCUACGGGAGGCAGCAGUGGGGAAUAUUGCACAAUGGGCGGAAGCCUGAUGCAGCAACGCCGCGUGCGGGAUGACGGCCUUCGGGUUGUAAACCGCUUUCGCCUGUGACGAAGCGUGAGUGACGGUAAUGGGUAAAGAAGCACCGGCUAACUACGUGCCAGCAGCCGCGGUGAUACGUAGGGUGCGAGCGUUGUCCGGAUUUAUUGGGCGUAAAGGGCUCGUAGGUGGUUGAUCGCGUCGGAAGUGUAAUCUUGGGGCUUAACCCUGAGCGUGCUUUCGAUACGGGUUGACUUGAGGAAGGUAGGGGAGAAUGGAAUUCCUGGUGGAGCGGUGGAAUGCGCAGAUAUCAGGAGGAACACCAGUGGCGAAGGCGGUUCUCUGGGCCUUUCCUGACGCUGAGGAGCGAAAGCGUGGGGAGCGAACAGGCUUAGAUACCCUGGUAGUCCACGCUGUAAACGGUGGGUACUAGGUGUGGGGUCCAUUCCACGGGUUCCGUGCCGUAGCUAACGCUUUAAGUACCCCGCCUGGGGAGUACGGCCGCAAGGCUAAAACUCAAAGGAAUUGACGG